AGGGACCACGUGGACUCAGGAGAUAGUGGACUUAAUACAAAAUGAAGGUGAUGUUGACCUAACUCAACGAGCACCUACUCAUGUGAGUUUUCCUUUCAUCGAAUGGAUAAUCCCGUCCAUAGGAUCGGGCUUGGAACAAGCUAAUGCGAUGCCCUCACCACGGACCCUGAAAACACACCUUCCCUUCCAACUGCUGCCUCCGUCUUUCCUGGAGAGAAACUGUCAGAUAAUCUAUGUGGCAAGAAACCCCAAGGACAACCUGGUGUCUUACUACCAUUUCCACAGGAUGAA